UCUGGUUCAGAUGAACGCUGGCGGCAGGCCUAACACAUGCAAGUCGAACGGUAACAGGAACAGCUUGCUGUUCGCUGACGAGUGGCGGACGGGUGAGUAAUGUCUGGGAAACUGCCUGAUGAGGGGGAUAACUACUGGAAACGGUAGCUAAUACCGCAUAACGUCGCAAGACCAAAGAGGGGGACCUUCGGGCCUCUUGCCAUCGGAUGUGCCCAGAUGGGAUUAGCUAGUAGGUGGGGUAACGGCUCACCUAGGCGACGAUCCCUAGCUGGUCUGAGAGGAUGACCAGCCACACUGGAACUGAGACACGGUCCAGACUCCUACGGGAGGCAGCAGUGGGGAAUAUUGCACAAUGGGCGCAAGCCUGAUGCAGCCAUGCCCGCGUGUAUGAAGAAGGCCUUCGGGUUGUAAAGUACUUUCAGCGGGGAGGAAGGGAGUAAAGUUAAUACCUUUGCUCAUUGACGUUACCCGCAGAAGAAGCACCGGCUAACUCCGUGCCAGCCGCGGC
rnacentral:rRNA from 1 species